GAAACGCGAUAGUUAAUGUGAAUUGCAGAAUUCAGUGAAUCAUCGAGUCUUUGAACGCACAUUGCGCCCAUAGGUAUUCCUUUGGGCAUGUCUGUUUGAGCGUCAUUACAACCCUCAGCUAACCGCUGGUUGUGAACCUGAACGGGUGACACCGCGCCGGUUUUAAAGUUGUAAGCUCUGCUGGCCGCUCUGCCCAACCAGAACAUAGUAAGCACUACUUGUCCGGGUGAAGCUGAACGUUACGGCCUGAACAAAACCUACCCACUCUCAAGGUUUGACCUCAGAUCAGACAAGGAUACCCGCUGAACUUAAGC
rnacentral:misc_RNA from 1 species